rnacentral:snRNA from 1 species
GUCCCUUCGGGGACAUCCAAUAAAAUCGGAACGAUACAGAGAAGAUUAGCAUGGAAUGACACGCAAAAAUCGAGAAAUGGUCUUAAUUUUU